UACGGGGGGGGCAAGCGUUGUUCGGAAUUACUGGGCGUAAAGGGCGCGUAGGCGGUGUGUCAAGUCAGGCGUGAAAGCCCCGGGCUCAACCUGGGAACCGCGCUUGAGACUGGCACGCUCGAGUUCGGGAGAGGAUGGUGGAAUUCCCAGUGUAGAGGUGAAAUUCGUAGAUAUUGGGAAGAACACCGAUGGCGAAGGCAGCCAUCUGGACCGACACUGACGCUGAGGCGCGAAAGCGUGGGGAGCGAACGGG
rnacentral:rRNA from 1 species